rnacentral:rRNA from 1 species
GAUGAACGCUGGCGGCGUGCCUAAUACAUGCAAGUCGAGCGAACAGACGAGGAGCUUGCUCCUCUGACGUUAGCGGCGGACGGGUGAGUAACACGUGGAUAACCUACCUAUAAGACUGGGAUAACUUCGGGAAACCGGAGCUAAUACCGGAUAAUAUAUUGAACCGCAUGGUUCAAUAGUGAAAGACGGUUUUGCUGUCACUUAUAGAUGGAUCCGCGCCGCAUUAGCUAGUUGGUAAGGUAACGGCUUACCAAGGCAACGAUGCGUAGCCGACCUGAGAGGGUGAUCGGCCACACUGGAACUGAGACACGGUCCAGACUCCUACGGGAGGCAGCAGUAGGGAAUCUUCCGCAAUGGGCGAAAGCCUGACGGAGCAACGCCGCGUGAGUGAUGAAGGUCUUCGGAUCGUAAAACUCUGUUAUUAGGGAAGAACAAAUGUGUAAAUAACUAUGCACGUCUUGACGGUACCUAAUCAGAAAGCCACGGCUAACUACGUG